CCCUGGGCCGAGAUGCCGAGUGCACUUGAAACCAGGCUCAUCUCUGGAGGCUUGGAGUUGCAGGAUUGCCCACAGCAUCUUCUUUCCUUGCUGGCCAAAGCAGAACACCAAACGCUGCCGCGGCAUCCUGGGAAAGCACGUCUGUGGGUGCUGUGUUUCCAUCACCAUAGUUCCUACAGGCCGUCUCCCUAAAAGUGCUGCAGGCCCUGCCCCAGGCUGAUGAGACAUCACUCCUGCCGGAGGGGUGUUUGUCUUCACAUGACCAGGACAAGAGACGGGGCCAGAGAGGAUCUAACUUCCAUGGAAUUUUUUUCUAACCUGACACUGCGAUUUGGGGGAGCGGGCCAUUUUUAUUCUUAUUUCAAAUUCUCUGAGCCAUGGA